GUUUUAAUAUCUUUGAAAGUUAAAGAAAAACUUUCGAGACUGACCAUAUCGAGUCCAGCAGUGAUAGCAGCAUUAAUCGAGUGUGAAUAGUUAGCACCAAGAGGUGUGGUGAUCUGAUCAACACCUAGAUAAUCCGAGAUGACAAUGCCCUGCAAAGAGAAUUUAAAAUCUUUCUCAUUUUUUCUGCUUUGCUUUAGAUAGAUUUUUUUAUGAUGAAACUAAGUUACCCUGAACUUGAGCUUGUUCUUGAGGAAACCCGUGAUAAGUUUCUUAUUGGUAUGCAUUUUCAACCCGUUCAAGGACGAGUAAGACACCAUAACUGUUGCAACUCCCUUGUUUACCAUCAUAAUAAGCCGGCAUGUGAAUGCCGAGCAAUCCAUUUGCAUUAAUAACUGUGUCGUUUGCGUUCAUCCCUCUUAAUGUACCUCCAUCUCCGACAAAGUGUUUAGCACAGGCUGCGACUUUGGUCCUCGACGAAAGGAACACCCUUUUGAUUGGUAGGAAGGUCACCUUGCAAACCGGUAGAUCAGACUUUACUUACUGCAAUACAUGGAGCAAAGACAUAUUGGAUUCCUGUUGCUCUAACUUCAAGCGCAGUUGCUUCACCAAUUCUCUUCACAAGGCCAGGGUCCCUAACAGAUGAAUGCAACAGUAAAGAAACAACGUUUUGGGUCUAUCUAUUCAUUUGGAAUGGGAUUCUCUAUAAGAACUUACCUGGUGACUCCGAGGCCUAUGUUAUGCGGGAAAAUGGUGGCGUUGUACACGUUGUUGUGACCAUGAA